GUGGCUCUCGGUGACUUCUCGUGACCUUGGCCGGCGGGAGCGGCGCAAAAGCUUACAACGGUUGCAGGGAUGCCGGCUUAGAGGCACGAUGGGAGACCUUUAGUUCUAGCUGCUAAGUCCCAAGUUUCAUCAAUAAAGAUCGAUGGGUUCAAGCAGGAUAGAUGGUGGUGGUUAUUGUUGCAACAAAUAGAAAAGAAGACCUUAUCAGUGCACCCCAUGCCCACGAUGAUUCAUUGCUGCUGCUGCACCACACACCCAAGAGGAGCAGGUCGUGGGUCAAAGAAAGGAACGGAAAAUAGAAACAAGAAAGACAAAAGAGAAGAGAUGGGGAUUGUACAAAACUUCCUCGAGCUCUCCAUCAAUUUAUGUCUCGUGCAGCCAUGGAGUCUGCAGAAGCUGAGAAGCAAGAGACAAAUGGCGGUAGAAGACCAUGUUGCUGCUACCAUGUCUGUUGAAACACGCGACCAGCUCGGCAACCUACAACGGCAUCGGCGCAAAGAGGACAUCGAGAAUUUGGAAGCGCAAUGCCCAGCACUAGGUUUCUCCAUGUCUCGCUUCAGAGUUCGGGCUUGAAGGUUUAGCAAGUGACUACAAUCUGGGAACCUGGAGGAAGCCGUUGAGCAACUGACCAAGGGGUGAUCCUAGUGAACCUGAAAAACCAUAUAUGGUAAAAAGAGGUAUGAUACGAAGGCAAUUUACACAACGUUUCUUAAUCCCGCUGUACAUAGGGAGCAUCCUUGUGUUGGCUUUGAAUCCACUCCAAAGGCCAAAGCACGUUCAUGUUGUAUGAAUUGACACGUCAUCAUGGUUAUUAGAAGUCCUGCCCUGUUAUGUGGGUGUGAAUAACACUGGGCUCUGUUUGGAUGUUUGUAUUGGCAGGCUUGGCAUUGCAUUCAAUGGAAUAUCAAUAUCCUGGGAUAUUCACAUUGAGAUCAAUGCCAAUAUUUUUGUUUGGAUGUUUAGAUAUUUUCUACCUAGAAUUGAUAUUCUAGUGGAAUGUCAAAUCCUGUUUGGAUGGUCAAAGCAAUGUAUUGCAUUUGUAUGAUCUCAACGUGAAGCACGUCUUCUUUCCACUUUUGGCUCCAGUCUGCGUGUGCUGCAACAAAGAGAUUGAUGA